UACGUAGGGUGCAAGCGUUGUCCGGAAUUAUUGGGCGUAAAGAGCUCGUAGGCGGUUUGUCGCGUCGGCUGUGAAAACUCGGGGCUCAACCCCGAGCCUGCAGUCGAUACGGGCAGACUAGAGUGCGGUAGGGGAGACUGGAAUUCCUGGUGUAGCGGUGAAAUGCGCAGAUAUCAGGAGGAACACCGGUGGCGAAGGCGGGUCUCUGGGCCGUAACUGACGCUGAGGAACGAAAGCCAGGGGAGCGAAAGGG
rnacentral:rRNA from 1 species